UGUGGCGGAGGAUGUUUUCCGGGCGGCCCACAUGGGAAGCCCAAGGGAAAAAAAAGCGCGUGGGAGAUGGGGCCAUCCACGCGCACGCCGUCGUUACCAUAUCCUCGCCGCCGCCGCCGCCAUGAUUCUCCUUUCCUCCGCCUUCUUCACCGCCCGCCUCCCACUCGCCGUCUCCGCCUGCCUUCCAAACCCUACACGGCUCGGCCUCGGCAGCCUCCUCUUCGCCGGACUCCCUUCCUCCUCCCCGCUCCGCGCCUUCUGCCCGAGGGCACGCCCCUCCUCCGCCACCUGCCCCGCCCACUUGUCCUUCAUGGCCACCGCCGCCGACAACCCGCUCCUCCUCGCCGACUUCGACUUCCCGCCCUUCGAUCGCGUAGAGCCACGCCACGUCCAACCCGGCGUCCGCGAGCUCCUCACCCGACUCGAGGGCGAGCUCGAGGAGCUCGAGAAGGGCGUCGAGCCCACGUGGGGGAAGCUGGUCGAGCCGCUCGAGCGCAUCGCCGACAGGCUCGAGGUCAUCUGGGGGAUGGUCGAGCACCUCAAGGCCGUCAAGGACUCCGCCGACCUCCGCGCUGCCGUCGAGGAAGUCCAGCCUGACAAAGUCAAGUUUCAACUAAGGGUGGGGCAAAGCAAGCCUAUCUAUGAAGCUUUCAAGGCCAUUAGGAAUUCUUCAGAUUGGGAAAGCCUCAACGAUGCACGCAAGCGUAUAGUAGAAGCUCAAAUAAAGGAAGCUGUUCUCAGUGGAGUUGCACUUGAGGAUGAACAGAGGGAGAAAUUUAAUCAAAUUGAACAAGAGCUUGAAAAGUUGUCACAAAAGUUCAGCGAGAAUGUGCUGGAUGCAACAAAGAAAUUUGAGAAAUUAAUUACUGAUAAGAAAGAAAUUGAGGGGUUACCUGCCACUGCCCUUGGUUUAGCAGCACAGACUGCUGUGUCAAAGGGUCAUGAAAAUGCUACAGCUGAAAAUGGACCUUGGGUCAUCACGUUGGAUGCACCAAGCUAUAUUCCUGUUAUGCAACAUGCUCGGAACAGAGCUCUCCGUGAAGAAGUCUAUCGUGCUUAUCUAACCCGUGCCUCUAGUGGUGAAUUUGAUAACACCAAUAUCAUCAAUCAAAUUCUGAAGCUAAGGCUAGAGAAGGCUAAACUUCUUGGCUACAAGAACUAUGCUGAGGUAAGCAUGGCUCAGAAAAUGGCAACUGUUGAGCGGGUAGAAGAGCUUCUCGAGAAGCUGCGUGCUGCUUCAUGGGAUCCUGCUGUUAAAGAUAUGGAAGAUCUAAAAAUCUUCGCGAAAGAAUCUGGUUCUCCAGAAGCUAAUGAUUUGACUCACUGGGACCUUACAUUCUGGAGUGAACGACUGAGGGAGUCUAAAUAUGAUAUCAAUGAGGAAGAAUUGCGUCCUUAUUUUGCACUACCAAAGGUUAUGGAUGGCCUCUUCACUCUUGCAAAUAAACUUUUUGGGGUGAGCGUUGAACCUGCAGAUGGACUGGCUCCUGUCUGGCACAGUGACGUCAAAUUUUAUUGUGUCAAAGACUCUUCAAACAGCCCUGUUGCUUAUUUUUACUUCGAUCCAUAUUCAAGACCAUCUGAAAAGCGUGGAGGGGCUUGGAUGAAUGUGGUUUUCUCUCGCAGUCGCGUGCUAGCUCGCAAUGGUUUGCCUGUUCGGCUGCCUGUUGCCCAUAUGGUGUGUAAUCAGACACCACCAGUUGGCAAUAAGCCCAGUCUUAUGACCUUCCGUGAGGUUGAAACCGUGUUCCAUGAAUUUGGUCAUGCCCUUCAGCAUAUGCUUACUAAACAAGAUGAAGGCUUUGUUGCUGGUAUACGUGGAGUUGAAUGGGAUGCUGUAGAGUUACCCUCCCAGUUCAUGGAAAACUGGUGCUAUCACAAGGAUACUCUUUUGAGCAUUGCAAAGCAUUAUGAAACUGGUGAAACUCUUCCAGAGGAAAUUUAUGCGAAGCUUGUCGCUGCAAAGAACUUCCGUGCUGGCACCUUCAGCCUGCGCCAGAUACGUUUUGCCAGUGUAGAUAUGGAGCUGCAUACAACUUAUGAUCCUAAUGGCUCAUUGUCCAUAUAUGAUGUUGACCGAAGAGUUGCAGAACAAACACAAGUUCUUGCUCCUCUGCAGGAGGACAGAUUCCUGUGCAGCUUUAGCCAUAUAUUUGCAGGUGGCUAUGCUGCUGGAUACUACAGUUACAAGUGGGCUGAAGUAUUGUCAGCUGAUGCAUUCUCAGCUUUUGAAGAUGCUGGUUUGGAUAAUGAGAAGGCAAUUGAAGAGACUGGCAUACGAUUCAGAGACACAGUUCUUGCACUUGGAGGUGGAAAGUCUCCACUUGAGGUCUUUGUUUCUUUCCGAGGACGGGAGCCUUCACCUGAGCCACUUCUUAGGCACAACGGCUUGCUUGUUGGUGCGUAGUGCGUCAGUCGGUCCAGUCCUCACUCGUUGUGUUCAUUUGUUAUACCAGCAUUCAAGUGUUUUCUGGGCCAAUUAGUUGUCUACUCAACUCUGGCAGCAAAUUAGCAUAGCAUGGUAUCGUGUUGCAAAAAGAGAAGAAUUUUAUUAGCUUUCCUUCAUCGAUCUCGGAUCACGUUGACGUUCUUUCUCGCUCUCCAUGCCAUUCAAGCAGCUCUGACGAGGUUCAUUGUAGUGCCCGCUGGACUGCAUUAGUGUUGCAUCGCUGCUUUUAUGGUUAAGGGUUAUAAGUUUGGGACAUUCUUAAUGUGUGAAAAACUAAUUUAAAGGUAAUCAGAUGAGGUUGGUUUUUUAUGUU